rnacentral:rRNA from 1 species
UACGUAGGGUGCAAGCGUUAAUCGGAAUUACUGGGCGUAAAGCGUGCGCAGGCGGUUAUGUAAGACAGUUGUGAAAUCCCCGGGCUCAACCUGGGAACUGCAUCUGUGACUGCAUAGCUAGAGUAUGGCAGAGGGAGGUGGAAUUCCACGUGUAGCGGUGAAAUGCGUAGAGAUGUGGAGGAACACCGAUGGCGAAGGCAGCCUCCUGGGCCAAUACUGACGCUCAUGCACGAAAGCGUGGGGAGCAAACAGG